rnacentral:rRNA from 1 species
GAUGAACGCUGGCGGCGUGCCUAAUACAUGCAAGUCGAGCGAACGGACGAGAAGCUUGCUUCUCUGAUGUUAGCGGCGGACGGGUGAGUAACACGUGGAUAACCUACCUAUAAGACUGGGAUAACUUCGGGAAACCGGAGCUAAUACCGGAUAAUAUUUUGAACCGCAUGGUUCAAAAGUGAAAGACGGUCUUGCUGUCACUUAUAGAUGGAUCCGCGCUGCAUUAGCUAGUUGGUAAGGUAACGGCUUACCAAGGCAACGAUGCAUAGCCGACCUGAGAGGGUGAUCGGCCACACUGGAACUGAGACACGGUCCAGACUCCUACGGGAGGCAGCAGUAGGGAAUCUUCCGCAAUGGGCGAAAGCCUGACGGAGCAACGCCGCGUGAGUGAUGAAGGUCUUCGGAUCGUAAAACUCUGUUAGUAGGGAAGAACAUAUGUGUAAGUAACUGUGCACAUCUUGACGGUACCUAAUCAGAAAGCCACGGCUAACUACGUGCCAGCAGCCGCGGUAAUACGUAGGUGGCAAGCGUUAUCCGGAAUUAUUGGGCGUAAAGCGCGCGUAGGCGGUUUUUUAAGUCUGAUGUGAAAGCCCACGGCUCAACCGUGGAGGGUCAUUGGAAACUGGAAAACUUGAGUGCAGAAGAGGAAAGUGGAAUUCCAUGUGUAGCGGUGAAAUGCGCAGAGAUAUGGAGGAACACCAGUGGCGAAGGCGACUUUCUGGUCUGUAACUGACGCUGAUGUGCGAAAGCGUGGGGAUCAAACAGGAUUAGAUACCCUGGUAGUCCACGCCGUAAACGAUGAGUGCUAAGUGUUAGGGGGUUUCCGCCCCUUAGUGCUGCAGCUAACGCAUUAAGCACUCCGCCUGGGGAGUACGACCGCAAGGUUGAAACUCAAAGGAAUUGACGGGGACCCGCACAAGCGGUGGAGCAUGUGGUUUAAUUCGAAGCAACGCGAAGAACCUUACCAAAUCUUGACAUCCUUUGACAACUCUAGAGAUAGAGCCUUCCCCUUCGGGGGACAAAGUGACAGGUGGUGCAUGGUUGUCGUCAGCUCGUGUCGUGAGAUGUUGGGUUAAGUCCCGCAACGAGCGCAACCCUUAAGCUUAGUUGCCAUCAUUAAGUUGGGCACUCUAAGUUGACUGCCGGUGACAAACCGGAGGAAGGUGGGGAUGACGUCAAAUCAUCAUGCCCCUUAUGAUUUGGGCUACACACGUGCUACAAUGGACAAUACAAAGGGCAGCGAAACCGCGAGGUCAAGCAAAUCCCAUAAAGUUGUUCUCAGUUCGGAUUGUAGUCUGCAACUCGACUACAUGAAGCUGGAAUCGCUAGUAAUCGUAGAUCAGCAUGCUACGGUGAAUACGUUCCCGGGUCU